AGGGAUUCAAUCUUCAAACCUAAAUUUCUAAGAUGUCUUACAGGAAUCGGGCUGUUGGCCUGCUCAGAUAUUGGAUUGAUACGGGCCAAUGGAAAAUCCAGCUCAAUCUUGUUGGCUUUUUUAAAUAAGCUCUAAUUUGGAUGGUAAGCAGGACCCUAGUCAUCAAAACUAGGAAGAUGAUGCCCCAUUAACUAACUGGGACUUCCAAUACUUGGAGCAAGUGUCCUGGUAUGUUUUCCUUCCCCUGUAAUCUUUGUUGUUUCUUUCUACUAUUGCUAGCUUUAGAGUGCCUAUCACUAUUUUGUUGACCUUUGUUAUUUAAACCAUGGUUAGAAAUCGAGGAAUUUGAUUGUGCUUAUCUUUAUGGAUUUAUUAAUUAAUUGAUUGGUACUAUAAUAUUUUCCUAACUCUUAUUAUAUAUUUAUAUAUUUAUUUUGUCAUGCAAAAUAGGCAUUGGUGAGUCCCCAACUUAAUUCAUUUCAGCAAUCAACAAUAAACACAUUAUAUUUUCGUGAUAACAAAAAUAUAAUAUUUGUAUAAGAUAUCAAGGGAAGUCCUAACUAAUCUUAUUAUUGUAGAAAAUAUCCAAAGAGGCCCUUAUAAUUUUAAAUUCCAAUUCUAAGGUACGUCUACCGGUUUUUAUCUCUAUUUAGGACACCUAUCGAUUUUUAUAUUUAAUAAGGAAUUUUCUCAAUUCUAAAAUACGUAGUGGUUUUUAAGGCGACAAGUGUCGGGCUUUUCUCUUGCAAUUAGUAUAGGUCUUCUUUACCUAAUUUCUCCAAAUUUCUCCAAACUUGGCAAUCUCUGAGAUACAAAGCUAUAUGGAUUGAAGACCAGGUUAGUUCACUGAUUUUGGGCAUCAUCUUACGUCUGCUACAAUUCCGUUCGAGUCAUUUUUACCACGGAUGCAAUUCUUCAGCAGCUGAUUCUGUAGAUGCAAUAGUGGCUUGUGCGGCUGGAAACUAAAUGUCUUAUGUAUCUGCAUUUGUGACUGUAUAGAGAAUUAAAGUUAACGCUAAACUCCUGUUUCUACCAAACUGUGUGGCUUCUCCAUGUUGGACUCUAAUUGAGCAGAGAAACCCGACUACUACAAGAUCAAGUACUCCCAAAAAUGUGACCCCAAGCCAUUAAGACUUUUAAUUCCGUUUCCAUUUUAGCCCCUAUUCCAACCAUCUAGUCCUAAUUACUUUUGAUUUAGUAUACUUCGAAGCUGGUCAAAACUCUCCCAUCACCGAUCUAUCAUGUUACUCAAAUUUGAUCUUCUAUGUCUAAUUGAACUCCCCUUAAAUCAUAGUGCCACGUCCACCUCAUAAGGUCAUUCAGGCUUACCCUGCUCUCUAUCUGAUAAUCCAUCUCAAAGUAAGGAUCUCUCAUGCCAUCUAAUUCUAUUACAUUGAGCUUUUGUUCAUUUGACGGUGCACCAUCACCAAGGGAUCUAGUGAAUGUAUUUAGAACAACUUCCUUCUUUGAGUGCAGUUGCAAAAUAUUUUUUUUCUCGCUUAUUCAUUUUCCUAUGUUUGGAGUUUGAUCCACCCAAUCUCCUAAAAAAGGCAAAUAUAGUUUUCAUAAUUGACCACUCUUUUUCUUCGUAGAAAUAGUUUGAUCAUUCUUUUUUAGUAUCCUUUUAUUUAUAUUUUCUGAUAAAAAGCAGUUUUAGAUUUUCAAUAUAUUAUUUUAUUUUGAAUAAAGUGCAUGUUUUGCAUUAUAAAAGCUUAUGGGCAAACCAUACUUCAUGGGGCUUUCUUUAUUAUAAAUUAUCGUCCACUAAUUGAUUCACUAUUUUUUUGAUAGGUUUACUUCGCAAAGGUCUUAAUAUUCAUUACAAUCUAAAAUAAUUGAUUAUCAUCAUUCAUGAGUUUUUUUUAUUAUUUAAUUCUUAUGCUUUUCACAACCAACCAUUUUCAUGAAAGAUUACUUUUACUAAAUUAUCAAGAUGAAACCAUUGAGAAGAUAAACCCUAAUAACAUCAUCAAAAAAAAAAAAAACCUAGUCCUUGCUAGCUGAAGCUAUCAUCAUCUUUAUUUUGCAUUGUCAUUUAGUUUGACCCUUAGAAAUAAUUGUUUUCUUUUGUUCUUUGCUCUUCAGAUGGGAAAGAAUCCAUUGAAGCCUAACAGUGUCGGAUGAAAGCUGAGGUUGCAUUAAAAUCCGGGAGUUCGCUUUCCCAGCCUCCCUUAUCAUCAAAAAGACAAAAAAGAGGUUUCAUUAAAAUCAAAACAGGGUACAAGUAGGACAGCAGAAGAUCAAUUUCUCAUUUGGUUCAAUCAAGAUUUCCCCCAUCAUAGAUGUCGCACUAUAAUGAAUUCUCCAUACUCGUUAAGGCCUUUUUUGGCCAACUAUUAAAAAUAAUCCAUAUCUUGAGAAAUGCCUGAAUUGAUUUUAAAUGCUUG
rnacentral:lncRNA from 1 species